GCGCCUGCACAAACCACAUGGACAAAAUUUUGUUCUCGGAGAAAUGAUGGCAAACGUCACCGGAUCUUCGACAGUUCGGCGCCGAAAUGGCGAAAACCGUGCGUACCUAUGGGUAUCGAAGCGAGCAUCAGGAGGAUCAUGACGAUCCAGCCGAUGCAUAUGUACUGGAAAUGGCAGGAACUGAUGGAAGGCGACGAGAUAACCAAACUGGAAGGGAUCGAAGUACCUGCAGGAUUUGCCGGUAAUGAAAUUGGUCACGAAAUCCCAGAGGUUGCGCCAAAAGGCUUUGAUGGUGUCGAAGAAACCCAAGCUGGCCUUCUUGGGCUCAUCCGUCGGACCAAUCUGCAGAGCUUUGAAGGCAAGAAGUAAGCAGCAUGCAUGUAGUUUUGCCACUUCACCCACAUCCUUGUCAGGGUAAAGAAAGGCGCCAGAAUUUUGCGGGGUUAAAGGAAAUGGAAGGAUUCGAUUGUUCAGGGCACAAUGAAGGAUUUCUCAAUGAAAGGAAAAAUACUGUAGCUGAGUUGCUUAGUCAUAGAUGAUCAGUUUACGCAAACAUGGCGAUGUGAAUCAUUAAGUUCUUUUUUCGCCCAAAGGGGCUUAUGGAUUGACAUUUAACAUUGAUUGCAAAUUUGGAAUAGUAGUGCCUUUCUGAGCUUA